rnacentral:lncRNA from 1 species
CUACUAUUGGCAAAUGUUGACCAGCUCACUGUGGGUUUGACAAGUCAAGCAGAAUUUCUGCAGACCUAAGGAGUUUCCACAGUGAUUCCCAUGGGUUUCUCCAGGUGGCAGGUCAGAUCCACAACAAAUAUAUUGGGAGUAGGAACACAGAAGACCAUGCCUGUGAGUUUCCCAUUCAGCUCAGGGAUGCAGCUGAAGCAGCUUACUGAGCUUGGGAGAAAAGCUGAAAAGAAGCUAGAUAUUCUAAGAAGUAGGUAUGAAGAGUACAUUUCAGGCACUGGGGACUGCUUUGGCAAAUGUACAUUUGGCAAAUGUAGGAGAUAGAAUACUGAAUGAGAGGAAUAGUAAAUAGGCUAGUUUGACUGGAGUGCAAAGUGUGAGAAGGGGAAUGAUUCAGACUGUGAAGGGCUUUGCAUUUGGG